GUGAGGAAUAUUGCGCAAUGGAGGAAACUCUGACGCAGUGACGCCGCGUAUAGGAAGAAGGUUUUCGGAUUGUAAACUAUUGUCGUUAGGGAAGAGAAAGGACUGUACCUAAGGAGGAAGCUCCGGCUAACUACGUGCCAGCAGCCGAGGUAAUACGCAGGGAGCGAGCGUUAUCCGGAAUUAUUGGGUGUAAAGGGUGCGUAGACGGGAAAGCAAGUUAGUUGUGAAAUCCCUCGGCUUAACUGAGGAACUGCAACUAAAACUACUUUUCUUGAGUGCAGGAGAGGUAAGUGGAAUUCCUAGUGUAGCGGUGAAAUGCGUAGAUAUUAGGAGGAACACCAGUGGCGAAGGCGACUUACUGGACUGUAACUGACGUUGAGGCACGAAAGUGUGGGGAGCAAACAGG
rnacentral:rRNA from 1 species